UAAACGAUGAGUGCUAAGUGUGGAGGGUUUCCGCCCUUCAGUGCUGGAGCUAACGCAUUAAGCACUCCGCCUGGGGAGUACGGCCGCAAGGCUGAAACUCAAAGGAAUUGACGGGGACCCGCACAAGCGGUGGAGCAUGUGGUUUAAUUCGAAGCAACGCGAAGAACCUUACCAGAUCUUGACAUCCUCUGACCACCCAGGAAACUGGGCUUUCCCUUCGGGGACAGAGUGACAGGUGGUGCAUGGUUGUCGUCAGCUCGUGUCGUGAGAUGUCUGGCUCAAGACCCGUAACGAUGGCGGCAACCCUAAUUGUUACAUGCAAGUCGAAUCAGAUGAAGCACUCUAGCUUGCAGACUGCCGGUGAUAAACCGUGAGCGAAGGCGGGGAUGACGUCAACACGUCGGGAACAUGCCCAUUAAGAGCUGGGAUAACAUCACGUGCUACAACGGAUGCUACAUACCGCAUAGGUGAUCGAGACCGCGAGGCUUAGCUAAUCAUCCUAAAGCCAUGCUCAGUUCGGAUAUCGCUUAUGGAUGGCAACCCGCCUGCGUAUGAAGCUAGAAUCGCUAAGGUAAUCGCGUACCAAGGCAGUGAUACGUAGCCGACCUGAGAGGGUGAUCGGCCACACUGGGACUUGUACACACCGCCCAGACUCACUACCGGACGCAGCAGUAGGGAAUCAUCCACGAAGUCGGUAGCGAAACCCUGUAUUGGGAGCAAUGCCGCCGAAGAGUGAAGAAGGAUCAUUCGGAUCGUAAAGCUCUGUUGUUACAGAAGGGUAACAAGAGGUGUAGUAACUGGCACCUCCUUGACGGUAUCUAACCAGAAAGUCACGGCUAACUACGUGCCAGCAGCCGCGGUAAUACGUAGGUGACAAGCGUUGUCCGGAUUUAUUGGGCGUAAAGCGAGCGCAGGCGGUCUUUUAAGUCUGAUGUGAAAGCCCACGGCUCAACCGUGGAUGGUCAUUGGAAACUGGAAGACUUGAAUGCAGAAGAGGAAAGUGGAAUUCCAUGUGUAGCGGUGAAAUGCGUAGAUAUAUGGAGGAACACCAGUGGCGAAGGCGACUUUCUGGUCUGUAAUUGACGCUGAGGCUCGAAAGCGUGGGGCGAACAGGAUUAGAUACCCUGGUA
rnacentral:rRNA from 1 species